UAACAGGUCUGUGGCAAUAACAGGUCUGUGGCAUAACAGGUCUGUGGGAAUUACAGGACUGUGGCUAUAACAGGUCUGCGAGGAAUGCCUAUCUGGCGCAAGUCAUCGUCUUGCGUUGAUUACGUCCCUGCCCUUUGUACACACCGCCCGUCGCUCCUACCGAUUGGGUGUGCUGGUGAAGUGUUCGGAUUGGCAGCUUAGGGUGGCAACACCUCAGGUCUGCCGAGAAGUUCAUUAAACCCUCCCACCUAGAGGAAGGAGAAGUCGUAACAAGGUUUCCGUAGGUGAACCUGCGGAAGGAUCAUUGAAUUAUUAAAACCACAAUGCGAACCUAUCUGUUCCGUGCCUUAGCUGCCAGCAAGGCAAUUGGCUUGCCCAAUUGUACUUGCAAGCUGGUGCGAGUAAUUUGAUUACUUGCAUCAGUGGCGCUUUGGCAUGCUUAUACACCAGUGCUAACCACUGUCAAAACCAAACUCUGAAGCUUUGAUUGCUAUUAACUGGCAAUCUUAACCAAAGACAACUCUCAACAACGGAUAUCUUGGCUCUCGCAACGAUGAAGAACGCAGCGAAAUGCGAUACGUAGUGUGAAUUGCAGAAUUCCGUGAACCAUCGAAUCUUUGAACGCAUAUUGCGCUCGAGCCCUCGGGCAAGAGCAUGUCUGCCUCAGCGUCGGUUUAUACCCUCACCCCUCUCUCCUUUUGGAGGGCUGGUCAGCUUCUAGUUGGCCUCAGGGGUGGAUCUGGCUUUCCCAAUUGGUUCACUCCGAUUGGGUUGGCUGAAGCUUAGAGGCUUAAGCAAGGACCCGAUAUGGGCUUCAACUGGAUAGGUAGCACCGGCUUCUGCCGACUACACGAAGUUGUGGCUUGUGGACUUUGCUAGAGGCCAAGCAGGAAACAUGCUUUGCAUGUCUUAAACUUUCGACCUGAGCUCAGGCAAGGCUACCCGCUGAACUUAAGCAUAUCAAUAAGCGGAGGAAAAGAAACUAACAAGGAUGCGCUUAGUAACGGCGAGCGAACCGCGCAAAGCCCAACUUGAAAAUCUCCCUUGGAGAAUUGUAGUCUAUAGAAGUACCCUCUGUAACGGGCGCAGCUCAAGUCUCCUGGAAAGGGGCGUCAGAGAGGGUGAGAACCCCGUAAGCUGUUGCUUCGUUGCCUCACGAGGUGCUUUCAAAGAGUCGGGUUGCUUGGGAAUGCAGCCCAAAUUU
rnacentral:rRNA from 1 species